UCGAAACUGUACAGAUCAACAACCCAAUUGAGAUGCGAUUAAUCAGCACACACCCCAGAUGUACUGAUUUUAAAUAGUACCGAAUUUGACCUUUCAUCUUAACCAAUCACAAAAAGCUGUCACCGGAAGCAGACACAGAUAGUCCAGGGAUGCCGCCCUGAUGAUGAUGAUAUGGAUAUGGUCUAAGGGCAAUUUCUUUUCUUUUCUUUUUUUAUUAUUAGUGUUGUUAUUAUUUUAUUUGGUCUUGCUUCGAAUUGGGUUCAACACAUGACACAAUUCAUUGUUUAUUUGAUCUUGAAAUGGGUCUGAAUUAAGGGGAGAAGAAAACGAAUGAGUGUACUAGUCAAUAAAGGAAGCUGCAUAAUUAGAUGCUUGGGAAAAAUAUGUGGCCAGCGAUAUCACCAACCCACUUUAGUAAUUAUCUUGGACUCAAGGCCUCAAAACAAAAAGAUUUCUGUAUGGUGGGCUACCCACCCCCGGUCCAACUUAACUCACAACACCUACCCCAAAUUUAUUGUCCUUUAGCUCCUCAUUACAUGAAUGCUGCUGCGUCAGGUCAAAGGGUUGAGAAUGGGCAGCGAUCAUCGACAAUAAGCCCUAAUACUUCUUAGGAACCUCCACCCGGUUUUUAGGAUCAUGUGUCACUAUUGAGAGCAGUAAUCGCUACACGUAACCAGACAAUUUGUUCAAUUUUAAUGUUAACAUAUUCCAUAUUGGGGACUCAAUUUGGGUUUAGAAUACCCAUCACCAGAAGUCGAAGACUCAAUGGCCAAUUUAAUUUUUAUUAUAGCUCUUUUGUUGACGUUUUACUAUUUGAUUUCAGAUAUUACCAACACGCUUGUGAGUAGUCAUGGUCAAUAUUGAAUCAUUGAUUGAUUUCGACAGAGAAGAAAAACUUGAAAUCUUGGAACGGAGGUGUUGUGAUCAAACUUUUCUAUUCGACAACCAAGUGGGUAUAGUCAGCGAUAAACGUUCACAAUUUUAUGCAAUGACGAUUAACAGCCUAAACAAUUCUGCUUUCUCUCUCUGGAAAGAGACGGCACCAUCAACAAUUAAUUAUUUAUUUAUUACUAUUUUUGUUAUUAGAUAUCUAAACAAUGAUGGAACGGUGACGCCCGACUCAGAUUCAGAUCAAACGGGCUGUGGAAGCCGUGGUAGAAAACCUACCACUAAUAUCAAACUACUCAUCAUAAAAAAUUGUAUGAGUCAAAACCAUGGUAGAAUCGUAACCUAUGCUGAGAUGUAAGACAUAGAAGCGACUGCAAAACUAAUGAGAGUAAAGGAAGCAGAGGAGGAAUAAGCCAUUGAGGCCCGCGGAGAUGGCGCUGGAGUUUCUUCUGGCGUUUCCGCUGGAAUUGGGGAUGAAGGACUGGGAGGAAUGGCUGCAAUGAUAUAACAAACAAUGUUCAUUAGGGAUUGAAAUUUUAAUACAAACCAUUUAUGUUCUCUA
rnacentral:lncRNA from 1 species